AAUUUAAUUAUUAACAUUUUGUCACUACUUUUUUAUUAUUUAAAUUAUUUUAAAAAUUUCAAUUAUCUUUCUUUGUCUUCUUUAAUAAAAACUACCACCACGGUGUCACCACCUCCAUCCAACCCACACCACCACUGCUGACCAGGUCGUCGACCGCCACCACUGCACCUCCCACGGACAGAUUCUAUUUCAUUUCGAAACCGUAUUUUUGACAUUGUCCGGCCUUAAUUUUUUGCAUUCCGCGAGACACUAACUCACUGAGUUGAGUUUUUUCUUCUUCAGAAAAGUAGGAACGUGAGAAAAUCUUCAAUUCUCUGGGAAAAUCUGUACAAUGGCGCUUAAUUUCUUAUACCACCGUCAUCGCACAUGAGCGUCCUCUUCGAUUUCACACCACUCUCUGCUAAUUGGAGUCUAGUUUGCAGGGAAUUCCUCCUUCCUUUUUCCUCAUCAACAAAUUUUCAUAUAGCAUAGAUUAGAACAUGACAACUAUGAAAAAAAAAUCAUGUAAUCAAUUCAAGGAGAUAUGUGAUCAGUUGAUCUUCAUUUCUUCAAGGUCUUGUGUUUUCUGAAAAGUCUUGGUUUGACUCUGAGACCUGGUUCAGGCAUGAGGAAUCAGGAAGGAAAAAAAAGAAUUUGAUCUUUUUGUGAUUUCCUAUUGAACCUCUGAUGGAAAUCGGUUGAAUUUUGCGAUUGGUUUUGAGGUUUAUAACUCGUUUAUUUUUGAGCUAGUAAGGUUUUGAACCUCUACACAAUUAUCUUUCUUCCCCUUGACGGCGAGGUUGGAGGUGGUGGUGCGGUAGUGGUGAUUUUGGUUGGAGAAGGGGUUGAUUUAUGUUGACGGUGCUGUGGUGGUAGUUGACGGCACGGUUAGCGAUGGUGACAUAGCAGAAUCCAUGGUGGUGCGAUAGUAAUGGUUUUUACUGGAGAA